UUUUUUUUUUGUGUACUAAGGUACACUGGCAUGCCGGCAUUUUUCUUUUCCCCGGCGCAUGAGAGAAAUCAAACUCCCGCUCUUUCCCAUCUCAGGAAGUGCAUUAAUAGAUUUUUCUCGUGUCAAACAUUGGUUCCUAGAAUGCCACAGCACAUUCUCUCUUCCAGCGCACAUCUAAAUGAGUUCUAGUUAUUGCAUAUUUAAGUGGGUGAAUCAAGCAUAGAGAUAUAAGGAAAAAAAUAUUCACACGAAUUACAACACAAGAUCAAUGACAUAGAAAUUAGAUGUGCAAUACUACUUUAGCAAAACUGAUUUCCUAUACACAUGGAGCCGGUGGAAUAAGAUACACGUCGAGGGAAGAGCGGUCGCGUCGACGCCACACCUGAGCCGUCGAUUACUCGAUUUUUGGCGCAGACACACGCAGUAUGCCAUGCGCUCGCACUUCGUCCGUCAUGCAUCUACCUCCACUGCCAAGGAUCGCAGCGACUAGUCACUUCGUUCUACAGAUGGUUGUCUAAAGCAAGCAUAUGCAACGAUCGUUGUGGGAUGCAAGGAUAAUAAUUUGAAAUCAACUUUGUGAAAAUAUAACGUUGCAUAAUGGAAUCCGUGGAGCACUUGUAAGUCCAGUUAAAUAGUCAGUUUCGUGAUUGCUUAACAGCACGUUCUUCAAUAAUUCCAGCCUGCAUAGCCAAGAAAGGGGGAUGGAUCUUGGUAGAUAUCAUUCGUACAGCACGACAAGAAAUACCAAAUUUCCUAAAGCACGAUGUAAAAAACCUAUAACGUUUACCUAACCUAUCACCAUGGAUCCUUCAGGCAAAACAAAUAAACGGUACGAUUAGAAGGAGGAGCUACAAAUUUGGUAGUAAGCUUAAAGUUGAGUUCCUUUCAAUUUCUUCAGCCAUAGAAACCGGACAAGAUCAAGCAGCCUUACAUCUGAGUUUAAACACCCGAAAAUUUGUUUGCCAUAUUCACAGCCAUGGGAUGAAAGCAACUAAUCCGACCACCAAACUAAAUUUUCCUAAUACCAAGCCAUCCGGGACUCUCCUGAAAACCAAGACACUAAAUCCUACGAGUACGAACAAGAAACUCCUUCGUCUUUUGUGAUGCAAAUUUAAUCCAUGGUGCAGGCGGUGGCAGCGAGGAACAG
rnacentral:lncRNA from 1 species